rnacentral:rRNA from 1 species
AUUGAACGCUGGCGGCAGGCCUAACACAUGCAAGUCGAACGAGUGGCGGACGGGUGAGUAAUGUCUGGGAAACUGCCUGAUGGAGGGGGAUAACUACUGGAAACGGUAGCUAAUACCGCAUACCAUCGGAUGUGCCCAGAUGGGAUUAGCUAGUAGGUGGGGUAAAGGGUAACCUAGGCGACGAUCCCUAGCUGGUCUGAGAGGAUGACCAGCCACACUGGAACAGAGACACGGCCAAGACUCCUACGAGAGGCAGAAGUGGGGAAUAUUGCACAAUGGGCGCAGGCCUGAUGCAGCCAUGCCGCGUGUAUGAAGAAGGCCUUCGGGUUGUAAAGUACUUACAGCGGGGAGGCGUUACCCACAGAAGAAGCACCGGCGAACUCCGUGCCAGCAGCCGCGGUAAUUC